UUUAUGACCAGGGCUACACACGUACUACGAAUGGCCGGUUACAAAGGGCAGCGACACAGCGAUGUGAAGACCAAUCCCGAAAAGCCGGUCUCAGUCCGGAUUGGAGUCUGCAACUCGACUCCAUGAAGUUGGAAUCGCUAGUAAUCGCGGAUCAGCACGCCGCGGUGAAUACGUUCCCGGGCCUU
rnacentral:rRNA from 1 species